rnacentral:rRNA from 1 species
GAUGAACGCUGGCGGCGUGCUUAACACAUGCAAGUCGAACGGAAAGGCCCUUGCUUGCAGGGGUACUCGAGUGGCGAACGGGUGAGUAACACGUGGGUGAUCUGCCCUGCACUUCGGGAUAAGCCUGGGAAACUGGGUCUAAUACCGGAUAGGACCAUCGUUUAGUGUCGGUGGUGGAAAGUUUUUUCGGUGUGGGAUGAGCUCGCGGCCUAUCAGCUUGUUGGUGGGGUAAUGGCCUACCAAGGCGUCGACGGGUAGCCGGCCUGAGAGGGUGUACGGCCACAUUGGGACUGAGAUACGGCCCAGACUCCUACGGGAGGCAGCAGUGGGGAAUAUUGCACAAUGGGCGCAAGCCUGAUGCAGCGACGCCGCGUGGGGGAUGACGGCCUUCGGGUUGUAAACUCCUUUCGUCAGGGACGAAGCGAAAGUGACGGUAUCUGGAUAAGAAGCACCGGCUAACUACGUG